rnacentral:rRNA from 1 species
AUGCCGCGUGAAUGAUGAANGUCUUACGAUUGUAAAAUUCUUUCACCGGGGACGAUAAUGACGGUACCCGGAGAAGAAGCCCCGGCUAACUUCGUGCCAGCAGCCGCGGUAAUACGAAGGGGGCUAGCGUUGCUCGGAAUUACUGGGCGUAAAGGGAGCGUAGGCGGACAUUUACGUCAGGGGUGAAAUCCCAGAGCUCAACUCUGGAACUGCCUUUGAUACUGGGUGUCUUGAGUGUGAGAGAGGUAUGUGGAACUCCGAGUGUAGAGGUGAAAUUCGUAGAUAUUCGGAAGAACACCAGUGGCGAAGGCGACAUACUGGCUCAUUACUGACGCUGAGGCUCNAAAGCGUGGGGAGCAAACAGGAUUANAUACCCUGGUAGUCCACGCCGUAAACGAUGAUUGCUANUUGUCGGGGAG